GGGUGCGUAGCGCAGUGGUAGCGCGUAUGCUUUGCAUUUAAGCAAUUGAAAGUUGUAUAAGGUCCAGGGUUCAAUCCCCUGCGCAUCCA